GAUGAACGCUAGCUACAGGCUUACCACAUGCAAGUCGAGGGACCGGCGCACGGGUGAGUAACACGUCUCCAACCUGCACUUUACUCGGGGAUAGCCUUUCGCAAGAAAGAUUAAUACCUGAUAUCAAGGAUGGGGAUGCGUUCCAUUAGGUUGUUGGUGAGGUACCGGCUAACCAAGGCUUCGAGGGAGAGGGGUUCUGAGAGGAAGGUCCCCCACGUUGGAGAUGAGCACCGGUCGAAACUCGUACGAGAGUGAGCGGUGAGGAAUAUUAGUCAAUGGGCGCUAGCCUGAACCAGCCAAGUAGGGUAAAGGAUGUAGGUUGAUGAGUCGUAAACUUCGUUUAAGUAAGAAUAUGUAUUAUAUGAGUAAGGGUCGGCUAACUCCGUGCCAGCAGCCGCGGUAAUAC
rnacentral:rRNA from 1 species